CAGUCGAACGAGAGACCUUCGGGUCUCUAGUGGCGAACGGGUGAGUGACACGUAGGGAACCUGCCCGCGCACCGGGAAUACGCUCUGGAAACGGAGAACAAAUCCCGAUGUACAGGAAGGAGGCAUCUUCUUUCUGUGAAACAUCCUUUCGGGGAUGGGGCGCGGAUGGACCUGCGGUGCAUUAGUUGGUUGGCGGGGUAAAGGCCCACCAAGACGAUGAUGCAUAGCCGGCCUGAGAGGGCGGACGGCCACAUUGGGACUGAGACACGGCCCAGACUCCUGCGGGAGGCAGCAGUAGGGAAUUUUCGUCAAUGGGCGCAAGCCUGAACGAGCGAUGCCGCGUGAGUGAAGAAGGCCUUCGGGUCGUAAAGCUCUGUUGCGGGGGAAAAAAGGCAGCAUCAGGAAAUGGGUGCUGACUGAUGGUGCCCCGCCAGAAAGUCACGGCUAACUACGUGCCAGCAGCCGCGGUAAUACGUAGGUGGCGAGCGUUAUCCGGAAUGAUUGGGCGUAAAGGGUGCGCAGGCGGUCCUGCAAGUCUGGAGUGAAACGCAUGAGCUCAACUCAUGCAUGGCUUUGGAAACUGGAGGACUGGAGAGCAGGAGAGGGCGGUGGAACUCCAUGUGUAGCGGUAAAAUGCGUAGAUAUAUGGAAGAACACCAGUGGCGAAGGCGGCCGCCUGGCCUGUUGCUGACGCUGAGGCACGAAAGCGUGGGGAGCAAAUAGGAUUAGAUACCCUAGUAGUCCACGCCGUANACGAUGAGGACCAAGUGUUGGGGGUNAAACCUCAGUGCUGAAGUUAACGCAGUGAGUCCUCCGCCUGGGGAGUAUGC
rnacentral:rRNA from 1 species